rnacentral:tRNA from 1 species
GGGGGUGUAGCUCAGUUGGUUAGAGCGCCGCCCUGUCACGGCGGAGGCCGCGGGUUCGAGUCCCGUCACUCCCGCCA